AGCGAACGCUGGCGGCAGGCCUAAUACAUGCAAGUCGAGCGCCCUUUCGGGGGAGCGGCGGACGGGUGAGUAACGCGUGGGAACGUGCCCUUUGCUACGGAACAACUGAGGGAAACUUCAGCUAAUACCGUAUGUGCCCUUCGGGGGAAAGAUUUAUCGGCAUUGGAGCGGCCCGCGUUGGAUUAGGUAGUUGGUGAGGUAAAGGCUCACCAAGCCUACGAUCCAUAGCUGGUCUGAGAGGAUGAUCAGCCACACUGGGACUGAGACACGGCCCAGACUCCUACGGGAGGCAGCAGUAGGGAAUCUUGCGCAAUGGGCGAAAGCCUGACGCAGCCAUGCCGCGUGAAUGAUGAAGGUCUUA
rnacentral:rRNA from 1 species